AAAAUGGAAUUAAUCAAUUCCUCCGUCGUCCAGUGCGGCGGCGGCGGUAAAUCUCUUCCUCCGUCUCCCUGGCGCCGCCCUUGUCCUGCGCCGCGGCGUCUCUUCUUCGGCCUUCACCACCGUCCUUUCUUUGUUCCGUGUAAAUCUCCUCUUAGGGAGAAGGAAUAAGAUCGAUUUGCCUGUCGCCUGGUGGUUCGUCUUCUCGCACGCCUCCCAGAUGGAUGGCCAGGGUGCAUCUGCGCGUGGCGCUUCAGACGUCAAAACCUUUGCUUAUGGAUCUGCUCUAUUUCCGUCACAGGUUCGAUUGAUGAACCAAAUACUCGAAUCAAACAAUUUGGAAAGGGCGCGAAGGAGAGUUUCGUGAUUGGAAAGACAAUGCCAUAUCCUGGAGGACAUCGACAAGCUCAUAAAUCUACCAGGUUUACAUGCUUUUUUGAUCAUGUGAUUGAGCAAUCAAUGGGUGUUUGUAUCAAUAUUGUGCUUGUCUUGGUCAUGGAUGUUCUAACCAGGACAGUCUCUUGUUGUGCCAAAGGCCUGAGUGUUUGUACCAACUAGCUCAGACCGACCUUGAGCCCUUCAUUUCAUAAAUCCUAAAUCCUUUUUUCUCUUCAAAAUAUGAAAGAUCUGAUAGUUUUGGACAUACCUCGGUUCAAGUUAGAAUGAAAUGUGGUUGUGCACAGCUACUGACAUGAAUCAUGUGCAUCAAUGUAGAAACAACUAAUGUUGAAAUCAAUGCUAGCAGGAGCUUGUAUACCUUUCAUUUGCAAUAUAUGUUUGUCUCUUGGGAGAACUUGGUUAGGAUGACUAGCAUUCUAACAAGAUCUUCUGCUUAAGAAUGACUUUAUCAAGCUAUUGAUGAAAAUUGAUGGGUUGAAGGGGCGAGAUUAUCCUAGCGAGUGAAUGAAUGAAUACCCUGAUGUUUUUUUUAUCACUUCUCUUCAACCAACCCCUAUAACUCAAUGAAUGAAGUUCAGUGGUGUCCUUUUGACCAGUUAUCUUAAGAAAGGAGAAGCAAGAUACAUAUCGUAAGUGAAAGACAGAAUGAUCAUUUUGGUCCAGUAGGGCCAUUGGCAGUCAAUGAGCGGCAAUGAGCAUCCCAUAGAGUAAGAAAGUUUAUAUGAUGCUGAUGAUAAGUAAAAUCAAUGUACAAAGUUAUACACUCCCAUAAGAGAAAAUAUUGUUUGUCUUUAAUAAUGACAAUGGGAUUAGACGGAUCAAUCUUACUCCUAUAAUUUUUUCAGCAAGGUUGGCACAAAGAAAGUUAAGGUGGUCUCCAACCCCAACAAGUGUAUUAUAGGCACUUGUGAUUCCUACAUUAACAGUUCAUUUUGACCCAAACUAUCUCUCUCUCUCUUUCUUUUUUUUUUUCUUUUUUUUUUAUAAUAAGAUGCCUGCAUAUAGAUAGACAUUGUGACUAAUAUAGUGAUCCUCUUCCAUCCAGAGAUUUUUGUUGCCUGCUUUCAGUUUGUUCAUUAGACUUGACGUAUACAAAACAUUGCGUAACCUCAGGCAAUUUAGAUACAUCUAAUAUAUCUUGGGCCUGUAGUUGAUCAAGGAUUUACACCAGCCUUGAAGCCUUAUAAUUUUAUAUACAAUCUCCAAUCUAGAGUUGGCUUUGUCUUGUCUAGAUUUCACGGUGUUCUUCGUUGAAUGACUAACGAUAUGAUCUUAAAGCUAAAAUGUGAAAGAUGUUUUAGUUUUUUAUUUGAUUUUUUAUCCAGGGUUUUUUUACUAAAGAAUCUUGUCUCACAUUAAUAUCAGAGAUUGUGCAUUCCAUGAAGGGUUUACAAAUUAGUCUUUGCUUGCUCAAGGAUUUAUUACAUACCAGUCUUUGUGGGUCUCAUAUUAGAUGAUGUUUUAUAUAGCUGAAGAUAUUAAUCAAUCAGCAUCAUUUUGCGGGUUUAAUUGCGAGGUUUGUCACUUGAUACUCUUGCUUAUUCAACUGUAAUGCUUUCUACCACUAUGCAUGGAUGUUAUUUCCAUUUAAAGAUGAAACCAGUAAUUAUUGUUCAUGAUUCAACAGAAGGAAAUUUUGUGAGAAAUCAUACAAAUUAAUUUCAUCCUUAGUUUGCUCGAUUUUACGUAAUGGAAACCUACCUAUACAAUAUAUAAAAGAAAAAAAAAGGUCAUUUUCACUACGAAUGCAAAAAAAAAAGUCAUUUCCACUUCGAAUGCAAUGCUUUUUUCUUCAUAGUUGAUUGCAGAAUACUUGAACCAUAACUCUGUUAUUAUGUUUCAUUGCGUGUGACAAAGAUGCUACCAGUUUUUUUCCCCUAAACAUUCAAGACCGCAACUAUUUGGUCGAACCAUUUGAUAUGAAGGGAUCCCAUUCAUAUAUUCUUUCACAGAUUCAACAGCCUAUCAAAGAAACUAUUAAACAUCAUGUUUGAUACUCACUUUUGAUUCAGGUAACUAAACCCAAUAACUGCUUUAAGCAUUUCAUGGAUUUUUUCGAUUAUGAUAGUAGAUUGGUAGGUCUAAGACUGGUUUUGGGAUUGCUUCCUCUUAAACAAUUAAUCUUAAUAAAUAAAUCAUUAGUUUUUUUUUAAACAAAUUGUAUGUUGGCAAAAAUUUGUAAUGGAAAAGGAUACAUCAAAUAAGCGCAAACUUGGAUUUACUUCUCUCCAUAAUUAUAGGAACAAGCUGCAUGUGGUCCUUACUGUUAUACUUCACUCGUCAACCAAAGUGUCCCUCUCCAUUUCAAUGAGACAAAUUUUAGCAAAUUGAGUCCAUGGAGAUUGGAGAACAACAGUCUUAAGUUUGUUCCAGUUCCUCUUCUUAUUGUAACCUAGCAAGCAUUAUUAGAAUCUGCCAGGAAUGUGUCCAUGGACACAUCUUCUCAAUGGCUUCUCUUCUUGUCUCCAUCUCAGAAACCAGCAUGGGCAUAGUGUGAUGAUAAGUCCUUGGUGAAAUUCUUGUUAUGUAAUGUAUCUACAUAUCCAUGUGACCAUACAAAAAAAGAAAAAAUAUGAAUCAUUAGGUAGGAUUAGGACACCCCUAGUUUGGCCAAACUUGCAUAUUUCUCACAUUUACAUUCAUUUUUUGUCUUUUAAUUUACUCUUUGUGCUAUCAAUUUGUCGGUAUGAAUUGGCAGCUGAAGAUACUUUAUGAAGGGAAUAAGGAUGAGGGAGAUGAGGAACGCUGGAAGAUUCCCUGGCCCGAACCCAAGACGCACUUCGGAUCAAACCGAGCCUUGCAAUCGACGAACCGGUUCCAUUUUGGACCAAAAUGGCUGGCCCACUCUUCCUGAGUCUUGUAGUGGGGGAGGUACUGCUUGAUCUUGAUCUGAGCAUGGUGGCAAAACUCUAGUAUCUCUUGGUUCUGGCGUUUUAGGUAUGUUAAGCUCUGGGUCGGAUCGUCGGAGUCCGGCAGAGCCGAUCGGAGAAAGGCCACCAAGUAGAACACGUCUUCGUCCGGCGUCACCGCCGAGCUCCUCUCAUCCCACCUGCAAAUUUAAAGAGCUCGAUCAUACUAACACAAACCUAACCUUUUCAGGGCUAGACAAGUAAGAAGGUCCCAAUUAGAUAGAUGGAAGCUGACCAAUCACAACUCAUACUUUAUGUUUAUGAUAUUUUAAUGAAUUAGAAAAUUAACAUCAUCCAUUAAGAAGUAGCUAAUGAUUAAGUUAUCCGAAGAUUAUAAUUUCAAAUUA